UACGAGGGGGGCAAAUGUUGUUCGGAAUCACUGGGCGUAAAGGGAGCGUAGGCGGGUUCUUAAGUAAGGUGUUUAAUCCCGGGGCCCAACCCCGGACCGGCACUUUAAACUGGGAAUCUUGAAUAGUGGAGAGGUCGGUGGAAUUGGGGUGUAGCGGUGGAAUGCGUAGAGAUCCCCAAGAACACCAGUUGCGAAGGCGGCCGACUGGACACAUAUUGACGCUGAGGCUCGAAAGCAUGGGGAGCAAACAGG
rnacentral:rRNA from 1 species